ACCCGUCUUGAAACACGGACCAAGGAGUCUAACAUGUGCGCGAGUCAUUGGGUAGUAAUACCUAAAGGCGCAAUGAAAGUGAAGGUGUCGCCUUGCGCGCACCGAGGGAAGAUGGGGCGUGCGUCAGCUCGCCCCCGCAUUCCCGGGGCGUCUCGUUCUCAUUGCGAGUUGAGGCGCACCCAGAGCGUACACGUUGGGACCCGAAAGAUGGUGAACUAUGCCUGGCCAGGACGAAGUCAGGGGAAACCCUGAUGGAGGUCCGUAGCGAUUCUGACGUGCAAAUCGAUCGUCGGAGCUGGGUAUAG
rnacentral:rRNA from 1 species